rfam:Helianthus annuus linkage group 3, whole genome shotgun sequence.
AUACCUUUCUCGGCCUUUUGGCUAAGAUCAAGUGUAGUAUCUGUUCUUAUCAGUUUAAUAUCUGAUAUGUGGGUCAUCGGCCCACUUGAUAUUAAUCUUAUUUUUUAUGGGGGAAGACCCAUCACAAUAGCUUGCUAUUGGGGUCUUUGAGUGUCGCCUUGGUCUUGCACUGCUACCUUGGCCUGGCGCACCCCUC